rnacentral:rRNA from 1 species
UGAUACUGGUUGUCUUGAGUGCACACAAGGAAGAUGGAAUUCGUGGUGUAGCGGUGAAAUGCUUAGAUAUCACGAAGAACUCCGAUUGCGAAGGCAGUCUUCUGGGGUGUUACUGACGCUGAGGCUCGAAAGUGCGGGUAUCAAACAGGAUUAGAUACCCUGGUAGUCCGCACCGUAAACGAUGAAUACUCGCUGUUGGCGAUACAUGGUCAGCGGCCAAGCGAAAGCAUUAAGUAUUCCACCUGGGGAGUACGCCGGCAACGGUGAAACUCAAAGGAAUUGACGGGGGCCCGCACAAGCGGAGGAACAUGUGGUUUAAUUCGAUGAUACGCGAGGAACCUUACCCGGGCUUGAACUGUGCCUGACAGCCUCAGAGAUGGGGCUUCCAGCAAUGGCAGGCAUGGAGGUGCUGCAUGGUUGUCGUCAGCUCGUGCCGUGAGGUGUCGGCUUAAGUGCCAUAACGAGCGCAACCCCUCCCGCCAGUUGCCAUCAGGUAAAGCUGGGCACUCUGGGGGCACUGCCACCGCAAGGUGUGAGGAAGGUGGGGAUGACGUCAAAUCAGCACGGCCCUUACGUCCGGGGCUACACACGUGUUACAAUGGGAGGUCACAGAGGGCUGCUACCCGGCGACGGGACGCCAAUCCCCAAACCCUCCCUCAGUACGGACUGGAGUCUGCAACCCGACUCCACGAAGCUGGAUUCGCUAGUAAUCGCGCAUCAGCCACGGCGCGGUGAAUACGUUCCCGGGCCUUGUACACACCGCCCGUCAAGCCAUGAAAGCCGGCGGUGCCUGAAGUGCGUAACCGCAAGGGGCGCCCUAGGGUAAAGCCGGUGAUUGGGGCUAAGUCGUAACAAGGUAACCA